rnacentral:lncRNA from 14 species
ACAGGAAGAGUGGAGGAGUGGAGGAGAGACUGAACUUGUGAGUCUGUGCCUUUGUUGCCCUUUAUUGCCUGAGAACCUUCUUGUGAAAUGAGCUCACCUCCAAGAAGCUUUCCGGGACAAAGCAGAGCCAAGGGAAAUAUGCAGAGGCUACAGUACCAAACGGGAGACCAAAGGAC